AGAGUUUGAUCCUGGCUCAGAUUGAACGCUGGCGGCAUGCCUUACACAUGCAAGUCGAACGGUAGAGGGGCAACCCUUGAGAGUGGCGAACGGGUGAGUAAUAUAUCGGAACGUGCCCAGUCGUGGGGGAUAACGCAGCGAAAGCUGCGCUAAUACCGCAUACGAUCUAUGGAUGAAAGCGGGGGAUCGCAAGACCUCGCGCGAUUGGAGCGGCCGAUAUCAGAUUAGGUAGUUGGUGGGGUAAAAGCCCACCAAGCCGACGAUCUGUAGCUGGUCUGAGAGGACGACCAGCCACACUGGGACUGAGACACGGCCCAGACUCCUACGGGAGGCAGCAGUGGGGAAUUUUGGACAAUGGGCGCAAGCCUGAUCCAGCAAUGCCGCGUGCAGGACGAAGGCCUUCGGGUUGUAAACUGCUUUUGUACGGAGCGAAACGGUCUGGGUUAAUACCCUGGGCUAAUGACGGUACCGUAAGAAUAAGCACCGGCUAACUACGUGCCAGCAGCCGCGGUAAUAC
rnacentral:rRNA from 1 species